UUGGUAUUUUAAUAUUUUUGAGCCUUUUGGCAUUCAUCAGAAUGUGUUUGACUGUAUUUUUCUAUACUUGCUUUUAAAAGUCAUUUAACAUCCUUUCACUAGGUUAUAGAAACAUUAGUAGUCAUUAAUUACAUAUGAUAGUGUACUAAUUCAGUGAUUAUAUAUAUUUUUUUCUAAAUAGGGUUAUUGGGGCUGUGCCAUUGGCAAAGCCAGGCAAGCUGCAAAGACGGAAAUAGAGAAGCUUCAGAUGAAAGAAAUGACCUGCCGUGAUAUCGUUAAAGAAGUUGCAAAAAUGUAAGUUGAAAUUUUUCUUACCAUCCACAAAAAUAUUUCACUUGACCUUUGCAUAUAUAUAUUACAUUAAUCCUAAGAAGCUGUUUUCCUGUAAAAUAACUUAGUGAAUAAUUUUUAGAAGGUAAAUUUAACAUUCUAAGAAGCCUCACGAAGGAAGAAAAUGUUUUUAAGCAAUAUUUUUUAGUAGUAAUGAAUAGGAUGGGGAAAAUAGCUUGACAAAAUAAACUGCUGUUACAGGUUAAGGACAUAUACCAUUAGGGUCUUAAUUUGUUAGCU
rnacentral:sRNA from 1 species